rnacentral:lncRNA from 1 species
UUGGGGGUCUGAGAUACAAUCUCUACAUUCCAGAGAAAAGAAGAAUAUCAGUAAAGUAGGAAGAUGUCCCAGAGACUGGAGAGAUGUAGGCAAGUAAAGUUAAGUAAACAGUGAUAGUUAGCUUGAGGACUAAGGUAGAGGUAAAAUGGAAUUGUCCAUGCCCAACCCUCACUGAUCUUUGAAACUGCUCAGCCUGUUGAGUGACUUCUGGUCAAGAAGAAGCCUGGAUUUUCGGAGUGUGGCGACCUGGAAGCAUACUUCUGGUAGCAAUGGGGACACGGGUCAAAGGGGACUUGAGCUUUCAGAAUGAAGACACAUAAUCCCUAUUAGAGUGGAAGACUUAAAAUCGAGUUUGAGACCCACCUUCUGAAACUGCAGGCUCUUGGGAGCCUGAUUUCCGGUGAAGAGUGUUGCUGCUUUGCAUUUUUCACACUUGAACACAGUGAAGAAGAUGAACAUUAAUUAGGAUUAUAGUGCCAUGGAGGCUUACUGUGCUGUGAGAACUCACAAGAAAUAAAAUGCCAUUUCUUUUUUUGGAUGCAAUUCUGAGUGUCAUGUAUGUAUUAGUUCUUGGGCCCAAGCCAAGUUACUUUAGGGGUGAUAUACAAUCUGUUAUUUUUAGAUCAUAUUGGGUAAGGG